rnacentral:rRNA from 1 species
GACGAACGCUGGCGGCGUGCCUAAUACAUGCAAGUCGAGCGAACAGACGAGGAGCUUGCUCCUCUGACGUUAGCGGCGGACGGGUGAGUCACACGUGUAUAACCUACCUAUAAGACUGGUAUAACUUCGGGAAACCGGAUCUAAUACCGGAUAAUAUAUUGAACCGCAUGGUUCAAUAGUGAAAUACGGUUUUGCUGUCACUUAUAGCUGGAUCCGCGCCGCAUUAGCUAGUUGGUAAGGUAACGGCUUACCAAGGCGACGAUGCGUAGCCGACCUGAGAGGGUGAUCGGCCACACUGGAACUGAGACACGGUCCAGACUCCUGCGGGAGGCAGCAGUAGGGAAUCUUCCGCAAUGGGCGAAAGCCUGACGGAGCAACGCGGCGUGAGUGAUGAAGGUCUUCGGAUCGUAAAACUCUGUUAUUAGGGGAGAACAAAUGUGUAAGUAACUAUGCACGUCUUGACGGUACCUAAUCAAAAAGCCACGGCUAACUACGUG